GACAUAGGUGGCAACCGUUAUCCGGAAUUACUGGGCGUAAAGAGUGCGUAGGUGGUUCAAUAAGUUACUGGUGGGAAAUCGGGGCUCAACCUCGUGGAAGUCAGUAAUACUAUUAAACUAGAGGGUCGGAGAGGUUAACGGAAUUCUAUGUGUAGCGGUAAAAUGCUUAAAUAUAUAGAGGAACACCAAACGGCGAAGGCAGUUAACUAUUCGAUUCCUGACGUUGAGGCACGAAAGCGUGGGGAGCAAGACGG
rnacentral:rRNA from 1 species